AGUGAACGCUGGCGGCAGGCCUAACACAUGCAAGUCGAGCGGCAGCGGGUCCCCGCGAGGGGAUGCCGGCGAGCGGCGGACGGGUGAGGAACACAUCGGAAUCUGCCUGGUUGUGGGGGAUAACGUAGGGAAACUUACGCUAAUACCGCAUGCGACCCUGAGUCGACGGACUGGGGGUGAAAGUGAGGGACCUUCGGGCCUCACGCGACCAGAUGAGCCGAUGUCGGAUUAGCUAGUUGGCGGGGUAACGGCCCGCCAAGGCGACGAUCCGUAGCUGGUCUGAGAGGAUGAUCAGCCACACUGGGACUGAGACACGGCCCAGACUCCUACGGGAGGCAGCAGUGGGGGAAUCUUGGACAA
rnacentral:rRNA from 1 species